GCCUUCGUAGUGUAGUGGUCAGCACGCUCGACGUGUAUUCGAGAGGUUCGUGGUUCGAGUCCCGGCGCGGGCG
rnacentral:tRNA from 1 species